rnacentral:rRNA from 1 species
UAGCUCAGUACACGUGGAUAAUCUGCCCUAUGGUGGAGGAUAACCCCGGGAAACUGGGGAUAAUACUCCAUAAGUCAGGAGUACUGGAAUGUCUCCUAACUGAAAGUUGCGGCGCCAUAGGAUGAAUCUGCGGCCGAUUAGGUAGUUGUUGGGGUAACGGCCCAACAAGCCCGUAAUCGGUACGGGUUGUGGGAGCAAGAGCCCGGAGAUGGAAUCUGAGACACGAUUCCAGGCCCUACGGGGCGCAGCAGGCGCGAAAACUUUACAAUGCAGGAAACUGUGAUAAGGGAACCCCGAGUGCCCGUAAACGCGGGCUGUCCCGGUGUAUAAAACAAAAAAAAAAGAAAGGGCCGGGCAAGACCGGUGCCAGCCGCCGCGGUAAUACCGGCGGCUCGAGUGGUGACCACUUUUAUUGGGCUUAAAGCGUUCGUAGCUUGAUUUUUAAGUCUCUUGGGAAAUCUCACGGCUUAACUGUGAGGCGUCUAAGAGAUACUGGGAAUCUAGGGACCGGGAGAGGUAAGAGGUACUUCAGGGGUAGAAGUGAAAUUCUGUAAUCCUG